UAUUCUGAGCACCCUGUCUUGUCUGCAGCGGGACUCUUCCCCGCAGCGCUGCCGAAUAAAGUAUCAUGUCACUGCCACAAACUGGUGACCCGGACUUGAACCGUGCUUCUCAGCCUUCCGCCGGCGAUCACGUUUCUCCGCCGCCCGGCCCCCAGCCCUCUACUUCCUACGAUUCCACUAUCUCAGCGGCAUCGCAGGCACACGUUCGCCUCCCACCUUUCUGGGCCCAUGACCCCGUCCUCUGGUUUGUCCAGGUCGACAACUACUUUUCCAUGCGGCGAAUAACGUCGGAUACGAGCAAGUAUCAGUACCUAGUGGAAAGCUUACCUCCGUCGGCCGCCGCCGAAGUUCGCGAUAUCUUGCUCGCCCCCCCACCCAGCGAUGCUUAUACAGCACUCAAGGAUGCCCUCAUUACGCGGCUGAUGACGUCCGAGCAGCGCCGCAUUCAGCAACUCCUUUCUUGCGACGACCUUGGCGACCGUAAGCCCACGCAGCUGCUUCGCCACCUGCAAUACCUUCUUGGUGAUAAGGCUGCCACCAUCGACUCCGCAAUUCUGAGAGAAAUUUUUCUACAGCGUCUCCCCGGCGAUUUCUUUCCAGCCACUGAUCGACCUCCGCCAGAUUACACAACCUAUGCUCUUCGCCUCAGGACGCUGAUGAACAGUCUUUCUCCUACUCCGACCCGCGCUGCUGAACCAAAGUCUCCGUUCGUGCCUCCAGACCUCGAUACUGCCACACGUGUAUUCCUGCGGCACGACGCAGUGUGCAAGCCGUUGCAGCCCCCCUACGACGGCCCCUUCAGAGUUUUGUCACGCUCCGACAGCCCCUUCACGGUGCAGCUCCCCAAUCGGCAGGAAGUUGUCGCCAAAGCCCGCCUGAAACUCGCUUAUCUCGAGUCCGACACAACGCCUGCCCCUCCUGCACCUGCGUCGCUCAGCACACCGCCCCCACCACCACGACGGCACCAGCCCCGUGGACGCCAUGUACACUGGGCGCUUCCGCUUUCCCGAGAAGGGGGCCCAUUGUAGCGGUGACGACGACGACGGUGGUGCGCUCUGCCCCUCACGCGCCGAUAUUCUGAGCACCCUGUCUUGUCUGCAGCGGGACUCUUCCCCGCAGCGCUGCCGAAUAAAGUAUCAUGUCACUGCCACAAGGCAAAGCAAAAAAGCUACUCAACCGUCGUCCAACGAUUGGCCCAAGGCUAGAGGUCACGUGAGUUUUUCCCGACAAUAGAAAUAUACUACUCGUUUAUUCCCCUGGUUGAGCCAUGUCCAACUUUUUCCGUGCCGUGACCCCGCCUACGCUCGGUCGCCCAAUGAGCGCUGCGUAUGAAACCUACUGUGUUUAGCCAUGGGAGAAAAAUGCUGCUGGCAACCAUGCGAGCAAUGAAAACAAACAAGUGAGAAAAAAAUGGCGACGUCAGGCGUGGACGCAAAACAGCUGAUCGAAUUAGUUAGAAAAUUUCCCUAUUUGUAUGACUUAUCGCACCCACACUUCAAAGAUACACAGAGAAAAGAAAGCACUUGGAGAUCCAUUGCGGAGAGGUUUGGCGUAACAGGCAAGUGUUGUUGUUGCAGUAGUUUUUUUAACGAGAUUCACUUAUGUCUUGUGGUGCCGUAGGGGACGCGGUAAUGAAAAAAUGGGUAAACCUGAGGGAUAGGUACCGCAAACUUAAAAAAGACCGUGACGGCAAGCUCCAGAGUGGCGCGGCGGCCGUUCCUCGAGUGUCGUGGAAGUUCUACACUAUCUUGGUGCGUGCGUGGGUAUCCCCAGUUUCUCAUGGUAUGAUCAGUGAUUUGAGCAAGAGGUCCCCGAGCUUGAGGCACGCGCUCGGAAACAAUUGCCGCAGCUACUUAUCUCUGCGAUCUGCUUUGAACUUUUGACAAGUCGUACACAGAGCGCGCGCCUCUAGAGCGGUCCGAGGCCACCAGUUGAACAUGACAUAAGAUUGAGACCUCACCCAUUUCGCUUGUGCAUCAUACAAUAAUGUCUUACUUUUAUAUAAAGCCCUGUAUCGAACCUCGGCAUUGAGGAGCCGGAACCAUCAUUGGCACUAUUGGAGGAGAGCAUCAUGCAGUCACAACGAAGUGAACCACAUAUCAUACUGGAUGAAGACGAACUUACCCUUAGCCCAGGGUUUGUUGGGCACCCCGCUUCAACAGAAGCAAGUGGUGAACCAGAGAGAAGUGACGAUCGGAGCACGUCAGACUCCAGUGGACCUCCGAGGGCCAUGGCAAGGUCCAAGGGUUCGAAGAAGCGGCCUACAUUAAACCUAAACAUACACCUGCGCUUGACUUCAUGACCACCUUCUUUCCAGGAACAGCAGUGAUGACGGGUUGGCGGAGCUCCGCUCUGCCUCCCUGGACACCAUGGACAAACUAGCAAAGAAACAAAAGGACCCAGACCGGAUAGAUUUAUUUUUUAGUUAUUUGGCAGCAUCCGCAAAGGAUCUCCCUCAUCAGACACAAGACGUAUUUUUGAAUAGGUGCCAAGCACUUCUGUUUGAAUUGCAAGGAGAUACGAAUAACUAAACAAAAAUGUGUUCGGCAAAUCAAUGGUUUAUGUGCAAUAAAUUGUGAGUCACGGCA